AACUUUGUGCAGUGGCAGUAUCGUAGUCAAUGAGGUUUAUCUGAGGCACGAUUAUUGCUAAUUGAAAAACAUUAAAAGCAGAUUAGAUCAUGCAGAAGAUUGAAUCUCAGAUCUAGAAGACAUAAUCUCUGACUUAGAAAAAAAUCA
rfam:Tupaia chinensis contig86259, whole genome shotgun sequence.